GGAAGCGGCGGCUGCUCCGCGCGCCAUUUUCAAAGGUUUUCAAACGCCGGGACAUCGCGGCCUCUCGGCAGCGGCUCGCGCUGGGAGUGCCUGGUUUCGGGGUGUCCCAUUUUUCUUGACUGUGACAAAAGCUGCUGCUUUGGAGGUGUGUUUACAAUGAGUACAAAUGCAGAGCGAAGGUUCACUAAUCUCAGGAAACGUCUAGAUCAGCUGGGCUAUCGGCAACCAUUGGGAGUGGAGAGUUUACCCUUGGUGGAAAAGCUUUUUAGUGACUUAGUUCAUACAACUGAGAGCUUGCGCAGUGCAAAGUUAUCUGCUGGAAAAACUGAAAAAGAAUGCAGCAAUUAUGAUACUGUUUUGGAACCUUAUAAAACAGAAAAUGCUAAACUUACCAGGGAAAAUAAUGAACUACAUUUAGAAAUAUUAAAACUGAAAGAGCGGUCUGAUCGUCAUGUUAAAGACUUGAAAGCCUCCUUAAGGAGGGCUGAACAUGGAACUUCUGACUUGAAAUUUCUGAAUAACCAAUAUAUACAUAAAAUUAAAAUGUUGGAAAAAGAGAACAGAGCGAAGACUGAAAAAAUUCAGCAGCUUCAGGAGAAGAAUCUGCAAGCAGUGGUGCAAACACCUGGAGGCAGAAAAAGAAGCAUUCCCUUCAGGCGUCAGCGCAUGCAGAUAGACCAACUUGUCCCCCCAUCAGGUGUUAGUGCCUACCCAGUUCCUCAGCCAGAGGACCCUUAUAUUGCAGACCUUCUUCAGGUGGCUGAUAAUCGAAUUCAUGAACUUCAGUCAGAAGUAACAGAGCUACAAGAAAAACUGGAGAUAUCUGAAUGUGGAAUGAAAAAUUAUAGCAAACAAGUUGAGCUAAGAGACAAAGAAAUUGAGCGCCUUUUGCUGGCAUUGGAUGGUGGGCGUUCUCAUGAGGUUCUCUCUCUGGAAUCAAGAACUAAAAGUAAUGAGAAGCUUAUUGCCCACUUAAAUUUGCAGGAACUAACAAUGGUAUAUGUGCUUAUGAUAAGGAGUAGUCCUGUAGAUAUUCUCAUCAGAGAGUGGGAAAUCUUCCUCACUGAACUCAAAUGGUCCCUGCCUUUAUUCCAACAAAGACUUGUUGAGUAUCUUCAGCAAAGAAACAAAGAACUUGAAAAUCGCAUUCAAGACCUCUUGGACACGAAACAAAAUGUGACUAGUGAGGUAGUGCAAUUAAGCAAUAAAAAUGAAGAACUGUGUCAAGAACUGAAUGAAAUAGAUCACUUGGCACAGCAGUUGGAAAGACACAAGGAAAUUGUGCUCGAGACUGCAGAUAAGGAAAUAGGAGAAGCAAAGAAAGAAAUUGAAAGAAAACACAGUGAAAUACAGGAUCUUCAAGAAACAAUAACAAAGCUUAAAUCAGAGUUGUGCUCAUGUCGUAGGGAGAAUGAGAGACUGAAUGAAGAACUCUUUGGAAAAACAGGUGAUAAAGACAAUCUUGAGGUGGUGUUAAACCAGCUUCAACAAGAGAAGCAAAGGCUGACAGAAAAAGCAGAGAACUUAGAAAUAAAAGAACGAGAACUUGUCCUAGAAAUAGAAAGAAUGAGAGUAGAAUAUGGUAUAGCCCUAGGAGACAAAUCUCCAUCUCGUCUAGAUGCAUUUGUGAAGACUUUAGAAGAUGACAGAGAUUAUUAUAAGCGAGAAUUAGAAUAUCUUCAGAAAAUGAUAAGACGAAGGCCUAGCCCAAGCCGCAGGACUCCAGAGAAGGGCGAAGAGCUUAAAUUGAUCACCAGAGAAAGAGAUGAGCUACGGUCCAUGUUAGACAGAUUUGAAAAACACAUGAUAGAAAUUCAGUCCAAUGUCAGAUUAUUGACUGCAGAAAGAAAUAGAUUAAAUGUUCUUUAUGAGCAGUCUCAAAGUGAAUUAAACAGGAUGAGAAGAGAAGCAAAGCAUAGUUUAGUUUCUCAAAGUCACGUGGAAGAAGAAAGAGACAUUGCACUGACUGACUUUAGAAGACUAAUGGCAGAAAAAGAAAGCCUCAGAGAAAAAUUAAAGAUUCAGCAAGAAGCAGCAAACCUUGAAAAAUCAAAGAUGCAGCAUGAUAUUUCAGAACUAGAGAAUAACAUUCAAGGACUUGAGAUGGAAAAGUGUGAACUAAAGUCUACAGUCACCAUUCUGAAAGAAAGAACAAACUAUUUGGAAAAUGAAUUAAAAUUGAAGUCCAGUAAACUUGCUCAGACUUCUGAUGAUUCUUCUCAAUUUAAAGCUGAGAUUUGCUCACUUCAGCUCUUAAAUGACCAGCUCCAGAGGUCUGUUGAAGAUUUACAGCACCGCUUGUCCCUCAGAAAGGAUGAUCUGCAGGCAGCUCAAGAAGAAAUUGUAAAGCUAAAGGAGAAAAUAGAUAGGUUAAACCAGAGGAGCACUUCACAGGAUGAAGCAGUCAAUGUGCUUAGAAGUACUAUUACUGUUUUGGAUAAAGAAAAGGACAGUCUUCAAGAAACUGUGGAUGAAAAAACAGAAAGAAUUGCAUGCUUAGAUGACAACUUAGCUAACAAGGAAAAAACAAUUACUCAUUUACGCCUAACUCUCUCUGAGCUGGAGUCCUCAACAGACCAGAUGAAGGACAUGCUGAGCAACAGAGACCGUGAGAUAUCUAGCUUACAAUGCCAGCUUGAUACGUCCCAAGUAGAGCUUGCAGAAAUGGGAAGAGUAAAGGAAAUGGCUCUGAAAGAAAACAGACGAUUGCAAGAUGACCUAGCUACAAUGGCCAGAGAAAACCAGGCUAUCAGUACUGAGCUUGAAGAUGCAAUACGUGAAAAAGAAGAAAUGAAAACCAGGGUUCAUAAUUAUAUAACUGAAGUUUCCAGAUUUGAGACCUUGAUGGCUUCGAAGGAACAAGAAAACCAAGAAUUGUUAGCAAAAUUCCAAAUGCUCCAUACGCAAGCUGAAGACUGGGAAAUGAAGGCUCAUCAAGCUGAAGGAGAAAGCAGCUCAAUACGACUUGAACUCCUUUCAGUAGAUACAGAUCGGAGACAUCUUCGAGAGAGAGUAGAACUUCUGGAAAAAGAGAUUCAAGGGCAUAUCGUUGCACAUCAAGUGUAUGAAUCUCAGAUCUCCACCAUUACGAAAAACAUGUCCAAAUUGGAAGAGGACCUUAAACGUGAAAAUCAGGAUAAGGCUGCUGUGUUAGCAGACCUGAGUUCUGUGAGGGAACUCUGUGUGAAACUUGAGUCUGGCAAAGAUCUUUUAUCUCGACAGUUGACGUCCAAAAGCAUGGAUUAUGAAAGGGUUCUAGGAGAAUUAGAAGAUAUAAAAUCAGAAGUAGAGUUGCUGAAAAAGCAGUUAUCCAGUGAGAGACUUACAGUUCAGAAUCUUGAAACGUUACUGGCUACUAGUAGAGACAAAGAAUUUCAGAACCAAUUAACAUCCCAAGAGAAAGAUACCGAAAUUCAGUUACUGAAAGACAAGCUAACACUUGCUGAGAGCAAACUCAUAUGCCUGUCUCUGAAGGACUUAGAUGAUAUCAUCGAGAUCUCUUGUCUUCUGCAUCUGUUCUCAACAUACUGGAUCAAGAUACCAUUCUAGGAAUUUUACUGAUGAAUAGGGAACAUGGGAAAAAAUAUUCUGCGGUUCUUUUUGGAACAAAUCUCUUGAGUAGUUUGCAUCUUCCUGGAGUCAAAGACCAGCGGGUACCAGACAGGAAGUCUGUGACUGACCUAGAAGUGAAAAUUGUUUUUCAGAAUUCCAGUCCAGUGCUUUAGCAAUAAACUAGUACAACUUUACUUCUCCAGAAGUGACUUUUGAGCACUCCACCUCAUACUGGCUUUGAAGACUGUAUGGAAUAACACAGCUGUCUCGGUUCUCAUUUAGACAACUUAUUUUACACUCAAUGAUUUUUUUUUUUUCUUCCUUCAUAAAGAAUAAUAGUAUUUUGCAACCAAGCAUUGGGUUGGUCAAGCCGAUGAUUUACUAAGAAGUAUAUUUAAUUAUGUUAGUUAAGAUUUUCAAGGUUGCUUUUCAUUUUGAUUCUUGCAGUUGAAACAGUUGGGCCCAAACACCAAGGUUAUAGUUGACAAGCCAUGAGACUCUGGUCUGGUAUUUGCAUUAAUAUAUUUUUUAUGUAGAUUUGAUUCAGUAGUUUUCAUUGCUAGCCAGAUAGUUCCAGGCUACUUGAUACAAUUUUUACUGUUAUGUUUGUAUUUUAUGUGGAUACUUACUGCUUUUUUCUUCCUUUUUUUUUUAAUGUACACAUAAAGAACAUCUCACAUGCAAAAGAGGGUAGUGAAUCAAUAAAUUAAUGUUUUAAUUGUUUUGUCUGUUUUUAUAAAACAUAUCUGUGUUUGCCUUUGUCUGAAAAAGAACACAAUGUAGUUAGGAUGCAGUGAGAGCUUCUCACUUCAUUCUCACCUUAUGUUCUUCUGGAAACAUUGUGUUACAUUCACUUGGUUCUUGCUUUCUUGCUUCUAAUUUGACUUUGAUUGGUCUGUGUGAAGCAACAUGUUUAGUAUCUGGUUUUGUUUUAUCUUGCUCUAAAUUGUCUAAGCUCCUAGCUGAUGGUGUUCAAAGAAAACUUUAUUGCUUCUCGUGAUUUUUUUUUUUUUUAGAAGCAGCCAAAAUAGAGAGGUUUCCAUACUUCGAAGUAAAGCUGCACAGCUGCAGACUGACUGUGAUGUUUUAAAAAGACAACUGACAACUGAGCGAUUUGAAAGAGAGCGUGCAAUUCAGGAAAUGCGCCGACAUGGUCUCUCUACAUCAUCAUUACGCGCUUCGCCUCCUCUCAGUU